AAACAUAUCAAGACAAAUCAAUAUGGAUUAAAGGGUAAAAUUAAUGCUCCAGCUUUCCGCUUACUUCUGCCACUCUCCCAGCAACCAAACAGAAAUCCCAAAAACCCAUAACACAAAUUGUGAAAAAAAAAAAAACAAUUGCCCAAGAAACAAUAGCAAGAACGUCACCGACAAUUAGGGUAAAAAUCAGACCAAAUCCAGAACGAAACAAACCGGAAAAGUUUAGAAAAAUUCUGGGGAAUUAAGGAAUGGGAAAGGGGCAAGCAACCCAUAAAAUGAAAGGAAUUACCUAAGGGCAGUAGAAAAAACGAAAAGGAUCUCAAAACAUAACAAAAGAGGAAAAACAAAAUCCUUUUAAGAAAAUUUUGACUAUUAUUUUCUGGGUAACCAAAUGGAAAACCCAAGAGAGAGAGAGAGCGCUUACCUAGGGUUCCGGGUUUUUCAGAGGGUGAGGUGAGAGCCAUUGUCGGCGCCAGUGGAAACCAGAGGGGAGAGGACGAAGGUUACCUCUUAUUUUCUUUUUCUUGAUCAAUUUUUCAUUUUUUUCUGAUACGAAAAAAGGAAAAAAAAUUUACUGGGCGGAGAUGGUGGCCAUAUCCGAUUCCACCGUCCUUCACAAAUCGUAUGAAGAAAAAGAAAAAAGAAGACAAAUUACAACAGAAAUUCGAAGCUCAAGGCCUGCAAAAUUGCAGAUCUAGAAACGCCGAUCUCAACUUUGGUACAAUCAGAAGGUAGAAAUCAACCAAAAGAGAAUAACAGAGAAAAGAAAACUAAGGAAAAUUUUGCAUAUCUGUAUACAUGUUGAGAGAGGGAAAAGAUGGACGCAGCCUCCAAUUCACGGCCAGCAUCACCUUUUCCUUGAUGGAUCUACCUUGCCUACUCAAAUUUUUGGAAGAAAUUCAACCGAACAAGGAAACCCUCAGAUCUCCGGAGGAAGCACUCCCGUCCCCAACUCCAGCUGCCGAGAAAAGGCUCACAGCACCCUUUAUAUAUAUUUGGUUGGGGAAAUAAUCCCAAAGAAAAUAUAAUCCUUCUUUUCAUUUAAAAAAAAAAAAAAAAAAACCAUUUUUUUAUAAAAGCAUGUAUACAUAUUUUUUUAAUACCACGCAUUUCUGGCGCGUUGAAAUCACUUGCGUAAUUGAUCAUACGAGACAACAAAACAAAUUUGAAAC
rnacentral:lncRNA from 1 species